rnacentral:rRNA from 1 species
UACGUAGGGGGCUAGCGUUGUCCGGAUUUAUUGGGCGUAAAGAGCGUGUAGGCGGCCAGGUAGGUCUGCUGUGAAAACUCGAGGCUCAACCUCGAGAUGUCGGCGGAAACCAUCUGGCUAGAGUCCGGAAGAGGAGAGUGGAAUUCCUGGUGUAGCGGUGAAAUGCGUAGAUAUCAGGAGGAACACCUGUGGCGAAAGCGGCGCACUGGACCACAACUGACGCUGAGGCGCGAAAGCUAGGGGAGCAAACAGG